rnacentral:rRNA from 1 species
GUCCUAGCCCUAAACGAUGAUUGCUUGGUGUGAUCGGUACCCAAUCCGAUCGUGCCGCAGCUAACGCGAUAAGCAAUCCGCCUGGGGAGUACGGUCGCAAGGCUGAAACUCAAAAGAAUUGACGGGGGCCCGCACAAGCGGUGGAGCAUGUGGUUCAAUUCGACGCAACGCGAAGAACCUUACCUGGGCUCGAAAUGCAGUGGAUCGGGGUAGAAAUAUCCCUUCCCCUUAAAAGGCUGCUGCAUAGGUGCUGCAUGGCUGUCGU